UUAGAAACAUUUUAAAAUAGAAGUUAGUCUGUUAAGCACAUAUCAUCUAUCAUAUCAAAAAUUUUUAUUAUAUUCUUGCUGGCUUAAUAUGUGGCAUAUAAACAUGAAAACAGAUCUUAUUAUUAAUAAAUGUCCAUUACAUGAUUUAAUCAGCACUGAUGAACGAAUAAAUAAAGCACACUAUAUUAACUCACAUUCUCUUGAAACACAAAACAGCUCAGCAGUGCAGUCGCCUGUUCUGAAGAAAGGUCAUUGAAAAGCCCAUUGAACAUCAUCUCUGUGAGGAGGAGCUCGUCAGCGCUAAGAAGAGAGUCGAUAUCACAAGUCACAGUAUAAACACGCAUCUUUAACAGAUCUGGACCUAUAAAAGUAAACUGGGACCUAAGCCGAGCAAGAGCAAACAACAACAGAAGCGAGGCACCGGAAGGAAACAGUCUGCCUAGUGGGCGCGGGAGAAGAGCGGUGGUAGCUAAGAGCACACACCAGUGAUCUAAGGACUACAUGCUCAGCAAGUGUAGAACGAUGGUUGUCUAUGAACCUGCCAGGCCUGCAGGCAGACUGCAGAGACACACAGCAAGUUUCAGAAGGCACUGGAGAACAGCAGGACCCUGCAGGAUGUGGGGUAAUGGUCGUACCAAGCAAAGGGAACGGCAUCCGUGGGAUGUCGGGAGAAUCGAGAGGAAAGGCAAUAACAUACAAAAUUCUAGAAUUUAUUCUUAAAUAAACAGGGAAUCACUGAAAAACUUUUACCAAAUAGAAUGAUGUUACAAGAUCUAUACUCUGGGAAGAAUCCUGGUGCGUCUGUCAUCCUUACCAGGGCAAGGAUGUUCCUGUAUGAUUUCAGUUUUAGUACAUGUGCUGACAAAGUGAGCAUGGAAAGGACAUUCUGAUAGCACUCUACAGAACAUGUAGUAACUCUCAAGACCAAAUGAAUAAUUAAAAGAGGGCAGUGCAAUUAUCUGGGUAGGAAAAAGUAAGAAAGCACAUGAGUCAGGGGCAGGCUUUAGAAAGACAGAAGGAAAAGAAAGAUAGGAUUCCAGACUGACUUAAAGCUUUUACAAAAUUUGAAGAAAAGUAAUGUAUCUUGAUACAUUGUUAUUUUUAUAAAUAAAAUCAUAUCAAGAUAAAGUCAA